AAUAAAUAAUAAAAAUUAAUUAAUUUUUUAUAAGAAAUUAAAUGAUAAAUCAUUAAAUUUAUAAGAUUUGGCGGUAUUUUAUAAAAUUAGAGGAAUUUGUAAAUUAAUUGAUAAUCCACGAUAAGAAAAACUUAUUUUAUAAUUUAUGUAUUGCUGUUUAAAAAAUUUUAUUAAAUAAAAUUUUUAAUUUAAUAUUUUAAUAUAAUUCAAGUCAAAAUAUAGUAUAGAUAAGAAAUUUAUGAAUUACAUUUUUUAUAAAUAAUGGAUAAUUUAAUUUAAAUUAAAUUUUAAAUUGGAUUUAAUAGUAAAGUUAAUAAAUUAAUUAAUUUGAAUAAAUAGUUUUAAAUAUAAAAUAUGU
rnacentral:rRNA from 1 species